CGGAGGGUGCAAGCGUUAUCCGGAUUUAUUGGGUUUAAAGGGUCCGUAGGCGGAUCCGUAAGUCAGUGGUGAAAUCUCACAGCUUAACUGUGAAACUGCCAUUGAUACUGCGGGUCUUGAGUAAGGUAGAAGUGGCUGGGAUAAGUAGUGUAGCGGUGAAAUGCAUAGAUAUUACUUAGAACACCAAUUGCGAAGGCAGGUCACUAUGUCUUAACUGACGCUGAUGGACGAAAGCGUGGGGAGCGAACAGGAUUAGAUACCCUGGUAGUCCACGCCGUAAACGAUGCUAACUCGUUUUUGGGCUUUCGGGUUCAGAGACUAAGCGAAAGUGAUAAGUUAGCCACCUGGGGAGUACGUUCGCAAGAAUG
rnacentral:rRNA from 1 species